UACAGAGGUCCCAAGCGUUGUUCGGAUUCACUGGGCGUAAAGGGUGCGUAGGUGGUCGGGUAAGUCUGAUGUGAAAUCUCCGAGCUCAACUCGGAAAUGGCAUUGGAUACUAUUCGGCUGGAGGGUUGGAGGGGGGACUGGAAUACUUGGUGUAGCAGUGAAAUGCGUAGAUAUCAAGUGGAACACCAGUGGCGAAGGCGAGUCCCUGGACAUUUCCUGACACUGAGGCACGAAAGCUAGGGGAGCAAACAGG
rnacentral:rRNA from 1 species